CACACCCGCCCCGUCACAUCAUGAAAAGCCCGUUUUGUACCCCGAAGUCACUGUGUUAACCCGCAAGGAAACAGGUGCCGAAGGUAUGGAUGGUGAUUGGGAUG
rnacentral:rRNA from 1 species